GCACCCGUGGCGCAGUCUGGUUAGCGCGCUUCCUUGACACGGAAGAGGUCCCCAGUUCGAGUCUGGGCGGGUGCACCA
rnacentral:tRNA from 1 species